rnacentral:tRNA from 1 species
UAGUAAAGUAAGCUAAAAAUAAAGCUAGUGGGUUCAUACCCCAAAAAUGAACAUGUCCUUUACUAA